GGUCGAGGCCAGAAAGCCAGAAUGCAAGCGGGAGAGGAGCCCCGGGCAGCCGGUCUGCAGGAAGCGGCGCGGUGUCCGGGCAACCCCGGGAACGCGCCUGGGCCGGCGGCAGGUGCAGGCGGCGACAGCGGCAGCGUCCCUCUGGCCCUCCUCUAGUCCCGGCAUUCGGCAGUUCGGACGCCAGUUGGUGCGUCGAUCUCGGCCGCAUUCUCCAUGGAGGCCUCCGAGGGUAGACCUGGGGCUCUCCUAGAAAAUGGAGUACCAAGACCCACAGAUGAGCCCGUGCACACUGGAAAUGGUCUGCAGAGCUGCCAUCUUCCCUCCAUCUCAAGAUCGACCAGCAGCAGAGAGCUGGAGAAGGUUCCAGAGAAAGCUGACUCCUGCUUGACCAAGGUUCUUCAGGCUGAGGAGCAUGCGUGGAGGCACAUUUGCUUGUACAGUACAGCGUCAUGGAGCAGAGAAGCGACAGUCCCCCAGAAAACUCAGGGUACUAAAUGCAAUAAUUUCUUAGAACCUAACACCACAUCCUCUGGCAGAAGGGUCACCCCCUCAUCCUCUGUUGAAACAGGACUGUGUGUCAGUGAGCCUCCACGCUUCACCAGAGUGAGUGCUCACCUAGACAUUGCUACAGAUUUGGGUCAGAGAUCUUCCUCCUCACAUUCGGAUCAGUCCUCUGAAAAAUCAUUGCCUGAAGUCCAAAAGAAUAAACACCCCGAGGAAUUCAGCUUGCUUAAGUUACAGACAAAAGAUGGGCAGCGUCCUGAGUGGACUUUUUACCCGAGGUUUAGCAGCAAUAUCCACACCUAUCAUGUUGGAAAGCAGUGCUUCUUCAAUGGGGUCUUCCUUCGCAAUAAGAGGUCUGUGUCAGAGAGGACGGUGGAUCAGAGCCUCGGGAGAAAGAAACAUGGUAUUGAUUCUAGGAAUGGAAUUCCAGAGUUCACUCCAGGGGACAAUCCAUAUAUGUUCCCAGAACAGAGUAAAGGCUUCCACAAAGUAGGAUCCACUCUGCCACCAGUGAACUUUUCAUUAGUGCCUUAUGAAAAGAAAUUUGAUACAUUUAUUCCACUUGAGCCUCUUCCACAAGUUCCCAACUUGCCUUUCUGGGUGAAGGAGAAGGCCAAUAAUUUGAAGAACGAGAUAAGAGAGGUGGAGGAACUUGACAACUGGCAGCCCGCAGAGCCCUUGUUACAUAGUUUAUUCCAUUUAGGUGGGUCAAAGAAACUUCAAAAAACAGUAUAAAACUGGAGGAAUCCAGAAGAUCAGGCUUUUGAGAGACUUCACAUGGAGAGGAGAGAAAACCAAGCCUCUCCUAGAAUGGAUGUGUCUACUGCCCAAGCUGGUCCCCUGGGCAGAUGUCAUAGCUGUGCAUUGAGAGUACUUUGGACUUACCAAGACAAUCCUGAGCAGAAACAGGCCCACAAACAUGUACUGACUAUAGUCUGGCGAGUUUCUUCAUUGCUGUUUUUGACAAUGUUCUAAAUCAAUCAAAUGUUUGACUCUAUUGACUCUGAUGUGUUUUGUUUGUAUUUUAAAAACUUUCAAACUUAUAGAAAAGUUGCACGAAUCAUAUAAUGAACACUACAUAUCCUUUACCUGUAUCCUACAAUUAUUAGCAUUUGUCCAAACUUUUUUCUUUCUCUCUCAUUACUCUUAUUAUUUUGCUGAACUUAUAUUUAAAAGUGAUAGGGGGUGGGGUUGUGGAUCAGUGAUAGAGUGUGUGCCCUGCACAUGU